rnacentral:rRNA from 1 species
UGAUUGAACGCUGGCGGGAUGCUUUAGCACAUGCAAGUCGAACGGCAGUACGGACUUCGGUCUGGUGGCGAGUGGCGAACGGGUGAGUAAUGUAUCGGAACGUGCCUAGUAGCGGGGGAUAACUACGCGAAAGGUAGCUAAUACCGCAUACUGCUCCUUCGGGGGAAAGCGGGGACCUUUCGGGCCUCGCACUACUAGAGCGGCCGAUAUCGGAUUAGCUAGUUGGUGGGGUAACGGCUCACCAAGGCGACGAUCCGUAGCUGGUUUGAGAGGGACGACCAGCCACACUGGACCGAGACACGGCCCAGACUCCUACGGAGUGCGCGGGGAAUUCUUGGGCAAUGGGGGAAACCCCGAUCCAGCCAUCUCAAGUGUGCGAUGAAGGCCUUCGGGUUGCAAAACACUUUUGGCAGGAAAGAACGUCGGGUUAAUACCUGCGAAACUGGACGGUACCUGCAGAAUAAGCAUCGGCUAACUACGUGCCAGCAGCCGCGGUAAUACGUAGGGUAAAAGCGUUAAUCGGAAUUACUGGCGUAAGCGCAGGCGGUUCGGAAAGAAAGAGGGAACUUCAGAGCUUAACUUUGAACUGCAUUUUUAACUACCGGGCUAGAGUGUGUCAGAGGGAGGUGGAAUUCCGCGUGUAGCAGUGAAAUGCGUAGAUAUGCGGAGAACACCGAUGGCGAAGGCAGCCUCCCUGGGAUAACACUGACGCUCAUGCACGAAAGCGUGGGGAGCAAACAGGAUUAGAUACCCUGGUAGUCCACGCCCUAAACGAUGUCAACUAGCUGCUGGGGCCUUCUGGCCUUGGUAGCGCAGCUAAUCAGUGUGAAGUUGACCGCCUGGGAGUACGGUCGCAAGAUUAAACCAGCUGAAUUGACGGGGACCCCGCACAAGCGGUGGAUGAUGUGGAUUAAUUCGAUGCAACGCGAAAACCUACUCUACCCUUGACAUGUCUGGAAUGCCGAAGAGAUUUGGCAGUGCUCGCAAGAGAACCGGAACACAGGUGCUGCAUGGCUGUCGUCAGCUCGUGUCGUGAGAUGUUGGGUUGUUCCGCAACGAGCGCAACCCUUGUCAUUAGUUGCUACGAAAGGCACUCUAAUGUGAGGACUGCCGGUGACAAACCGGAGGAAGGUGGGGAUGACGUCAAGUCCUCAUGGCCCUUAUGGGUAGGGCUUCACACGUCAUAAUGGUCGGGACAGAGGGUCGCCAACCCGCGAGGGGGAGCCAAUCCCAGAAACCCGAUCGUAGUCCGGAUCGCAGUCUGCAACUCGACUGCGUGAAGUCGAAUCGCUAGUAAUCGCGGAUCAGCAUGUCGCGGUGAAUACGUUCCCGGGUCUUGUACACACCGCCCGUCACACCAUGGGAGUGGGUUUUACCAGAAGUAGUUAGCCUAACCGCAAGGGGGCGAUUACCACGGUAGGAUUCAUGACUGGGGUGAAGUCGUAACAAGGUAA